rnacentral:rRNA from 1 species
UACGAAGGGGGCUAGCGUUGCUCGGAAUCACUGGGCGUAAAGGGCGCGUAGGCGGCGUUUUAAGUCGGGGGUGAAAGCCUGUGGCUCAACCACAGGAUGGCCUUCGAUACUGGGACGCUUGAGUAUGGUAGAGGUUGGUGGAACUGCGAGUGUAGAGGUGAAAUUCGUAGAUAUUCGCAAGAACACCGGUGGCGAAGGCGGCCAACUGGACCAUUACUGACGCUGAGGCGCGAAAGCGUGGGGAGCAAACAGG